AGGGAGACAACAAAAUGUAAAUAUUAAUUUUGUCACCUUAGGUCGAUCGGUAUCUCAGAUUCUUAAUUUUUUAGGAAUUUCAGUUUCUAAGUUUUUUCUAGGUCACACCCAUCACUUUUUCCUGGGCCAUUAGCUCAGGUGGUUAGAGCGCACCCCUGAUAAGGGUGAGGUCCCUGGUUCAAGUCCAGGAUGGCCCAUAUCUCUAUGUUGGGGGUAUAGCUCAGUUGGUAGAGCGCCUGCUUUGCAAGCAGGAUGUCAGCGGUUCGAGUCCGCUUACCUCCACUGAAUACCACCUCUUACAUAUAUUUAAAGAGGGAAAUUGUUAUGAGUCGUGUCCUAAUCUACUCUGAGCGAAUCUAGCUUCCUAUUUUAUUCAAUAAAUAAGAUGCUGGACUCAUUGAAUUUUUUUUUCAUUGUUUUCAGAGAACCUUGACAACUGCAUAGAUUAUUUUUGAAGACAAUAAGCAUCUUUAAUGAUGCAGAUUUAUUAUUUGUGCGAAUGCAUUAAAUAACAAUUCUAUUAAGCUGAUGCUUCAAUUAUUGAAGUUAUU
rnacentral:tRNA from 1 species